rnacentral:lncRNA from 1 species
ACACCGAGUCCGCCGCGGCGUCCAGGGUCGGCAGCAACCGCAGCCGAGCCCGAGCGGGUGGCGGCGCCAUGGCGUGCGCGGGGCUGCUCACCGUGUGCCUGCUCCGGCCGCCCGCGCCCCAGCCCCAGCCCCAGACCCCGCGGCACCCCCAGCUCGCGCCCGACCCGGGGCCCGCCGGACACACGCUCUUCCAGGACGUUUUCCGCAGAGCAGACAAGAAUGAUGAUGGGAAGCUCUCAUUUGAGGAAUUCCAGAAUUACUUUGCCGAUGGGGUUCUCAGCCUGGGGGAGCUGCAGGAACUGUUCAGCGGCAUUGAUGGGCAUCUCACCGACAAUUUAGAAACAGAAAAACUGUGUGGUGAGUAGGCCCAUGGGAGCUCUUUUCUCCUGUGGCCCCUGGGCCCCAGGGUACGUGUGGCAAGGGACUGUUGCUGGUCUCCUGAUGGGACAGGUUGGGCUGGGCUCAGGAUAUAAGGCCUGCUUGGCUGCUGAGGAAUUCCAGGGGGCCAGAAUCCCAGGGUGGGUAG